CCUACGGGUGGCAGCAGUGGGGAAUAUUGCGCAAUGGGCGAAAGUCUGACCCAGCCACGCCGCGUGAAGGAUGAAGGCCUUCGGAUCGUAAAACUCUGUCAGCAGGGAAGAACGGUCACUGUGCUAAUCAUCACUGAAUUGACGGUACCUGUAAAGGACGCCCCGGCCAAUUCCGUCCGAGCAGCCGAGGUAAUACGGAGGGUGCGUGUGUUGAUCGGAAUUAGUGGGCGUAAAGCGCGCGUAGGCGGUAGGACAAGUCAAGGGUGAAAUCCCCGGGCUCAACGUGGGAACUGCCUUUGAUACUGGCCGACUAGAGAGUAGGAGAGGAUGGGGGAAUGCAAGGUGUAGGGGUGAAAUGCGUAGAUAUC
rnacentral:rRNA from 1 species